rnacentral:rRNA from 1 species
CAGCGGAGGGAUCAUUAAAGAGUUUUUACAACUCCCAAACCCCUGUGAACAUACCUUCUGUUGCCUCGGCAGGCCCUGGCCUACCCUGUAGCGCCCCUACACUGUAGGGCUUGCUUUAGGGGGGGCGCUGGGGGAACCUGCCGGCGGCCCGCAAAACUCUGUUUAGCAUUGAAUUCUGAACGUAUAACUAAAUAAGUUAAAACUUUCAACAACGGAUCUCUUGGUUCUGGCAUCGAUGAAGAACGCAGCGAAAUGCGAUAAGUAAUGUGAAUUGCAGAAUUCAGUGAAUCAUCGAAUCUUUGAACGCACAUUGCGCCCAUUAGUAUUCUAGUGGGCAUGCCUGUUCGAGCGUCAUUUCAACCCUUAAGCCCCUGUUGCUUAGCGUUGGGAGCCUACGGAAGCGUAGCUCCCUAAAGUUAGUGGCGUGGUCGGUUCACACUCCAGACGUAGUAGAUUUUCACCUCGCCUGUAGCUGGACCGGUCCCCUGCCGUAAAACACCCCAAUUUUUAAAGGUUGACCUCGGAUCAG